GAUGAACGCUAGCUACAGGCUUAACACAUGCAAGUCGCGGGGCAGCAUGGGGGUUGCUUGCAAUCCCCGAUGGCGACCGGCGCACGGGUGAGUAACGCGUAUCCAACCUGCCCUUCACCACGGGAUAACCCGGCGAAAGUCGGACUAAUACCGUAUGUUGUCCAUUGACGGCAUCCGAUUUGGACGAAAGGUUUGGCGGUGAAGGAUGGGGAUGCGUCCGAUUAGCUGGACGGCGGGGUGACGGCCCACCGUGGCGACGAUCGGUAGGGGUUCUGAGAGGAAGGUCCCCCACACUGGAACUGAGACACGGACCAGACUCCUACGGGAGGCAGCAGUGAGGAAUAGUGGUCAAUGGGCGUAAGCCUGAACCAGCCAAGUAGCGUGCAGGAUGACGGCCCUAUGGGUUGUAAACUGCUUUUAUGCGGGGAUAAAGUGGCCCACGUGUGGGUUUUUGCAGGUACCGCAUGAAUAAGGACCGGCUAAUUCCGUG
rnacentral:rRNA from 1 species